rnacentral:rRNA from 1 species
GACGAACGCUGGCGGCGUGCCUAAUACAUGCAAGUAGAACGCUGAAGAGAGGAGCUUGCUCUUCUUGGAUGAGUUGCGAACGGGUGAGUAACGCGUAGGUAACCUGCCUUGUAGCGGGGGAUAACUAUUGGAAACGAUAGCUAAUACCGCAUAACAAUGGAUGACACAUGUCAUUUAUUUGAAAGGGGCAAUUGCUCCACUACAAGAUGGACCUGCGUUGUAUUAGCUAGUAGGUGAGGUAACGGCUCACCUAGGCGACGAUACAUAGCCGACCUGAGAGGGUGAUCGGCCACACUGGGACUGAGACACGACCCAGACUCCUACGGGAGGCAGCAGUAGGGAAUCUUCGGCAAUGGGGGCAACCCUGACCGAGCAACGCCGCGUGAGUGAAGAAGGUUUUCGGAUCGUAAAGCUCUGUUGUAAGUCAAGAACGAGUGUGAGAGUGGAAAGUUCACACUGUGACGGUAGCUUACCAGAAAGGGACGGCUAACUACGUG